GCGCAUAUUCGUGCCUCUCGAUUUUGAACGCACAUUGCGCCCUCUGGUAUUCCGGAGGGCAUGCCUGUUUGAGCGUCGUU
rnacentral:rRNA from 1 species